UGAGGUCACAAUGGUCAGCCUGCCUUCAGCAGGCAUAAAGACACACUGAUCAGUCAGUGUCUCUUCCUGGAGGAAGCAGCAGCAAUUUGUGGGCACUGUAAUCUGUUGCUCUCUCUCACUCCCAUACAGAGGCUGGCAGAAGCAGGACCAUACAGGCACAGUUUGUCACCAAGUUAAUAAGGUACCUGAAGGUCAAAUGCAGAUGUUCCUGCAGCAUAUAGUGAAGGCAGCACUUUUCAAAUAAACUAUGUGAUUGUGGCACCACCUA